CUGGAGGACCACCGGCUAAUGAGAGCGAAGCAAAGUCAGUUGGGCCCAUCCCCAAUGUGGAAUCUGGACCUUUGAGAUCGCAGGAAAGUUUGGAGGACCCUCCUGUGCCACCGCAGAGCCCGCGCCGGAAGUUUAAAAAGACGCUAAAGAAGACCGGAGACGCCCGGGAGGAAGCGCCUGACCCGGCUUCCUGGAGGAGGACAGCUGAAGACAUUUAAAGAUGAGAGCUGUUCAGGGUGGGAGCCAAGGCCCAGAGACUAGUGCAACUCAGAGGAGCACGUCCGUGGGCUUGGUCCCUGUCCUUUCUUGGGCCACAGCUGACCCUUUUUUUUUUCCCGUAGCCCUCACAAGUGUUUUAUUCUGAGUAUUUUCAAACAUGCACAUUAAGGGGAAUAGUAUAACGCACUCUUAAGUACAUCUCAAACGCUACCAAUAUUCAACACUUCUGGAUUUCACUUGAUCUAUACUUCUUUGUCACGCGCGUCCGUGUGAAGAGACCACCAAGCAGGCUUUGUGUGAGCAACAAGGCUGUUUAUUUCACCUGGGUGCAGGCGGGCUGAGUCCGAAAAAGGAGUCAGCAAAGGGUGGUGGGAUUAUCAUUAGUUCUUACAGGUUUGGGAUAGGCUUAUAAAGUACAUUCUCAAGGGCGGGGAGAAUGUUACAAAGUACCUUCUUCUUUUUUUUUUUUUUUUUUUUGAGACGGAGUCUCGCUCUGUCGCCCAGGCUGGAUUGCAGUAGUGUGACCUCGGCUCACUGCAACCUCCACCUCCUGGACUCAAGGGAUUCUCCUGCCUCAGCUUCCCUAGUAGCUGGGAUUACAGGUGUGUACUACCACACCCGGCUAAUUU
rnacentral:lncRNA from 1 species